rnacentral:tRNA from 1 species
GCCCUCGUCGUCUAGCGGCUUAGGACACUUGGUUCUCAUCCAAGAAACCACCGGUUCGAAUCCGGUCGAGGGUA